rnacentral:pre_miRNA from 17 species
CGGCCUUUGGAGCCAAAGUUCUGAGACACUCCGACUCUGAGUACGAUAGAAGUCAGUGCACUACAGAACUUUGUCUCCGGAGGCCG